CCCAGAGCCACAUCCAGCCUGGCCUUGAAUGCCUUCAGGGAUGGGGUAUCCACAACAUCUCUGGGCAACCUGUUCCAGUGUGUCACCACCCUCUGAGUGAAAAACUUCCUCCUAGUAUCUAACCUAAAGCUCCCCUGUCUCAGUUUAAAACCAUCCCCCCUUGUCCUGUCACUAUCCACCCUUGUAAACAUGUAACGCAAACACAUAAUUUAUGACAUCUGUCUUCACAUGUCCUGAUUUCACAGCUUAGUUUAUGUCUUCUGUGAUCUGACUCCAUUAUCUUAAUACCACUGUUAUAUUUUUGAAAUCUUUUAUGACUAUUCUUUUUCCCCAAGGACCUGUUUCUUUCUGAUGGUUUUGCACACUUGCAUUCCUGGUAAUUACUUUAUUUUUAAGGCAGAAACCCUAGUUAUGGGAAGCAACUGAAUGCUGUGUUGAACAAUGUCGAAACAGAUUUUUAUAUGGUGUUGAAGACAUUUUAUAAUGGGUGGAGUACUUCAAAAAUCUGCAGGGCGUGAGAAAUGCAGUGCUUGCAAAUAUUUCUAUAAUAAAGUUUGAUAAAUUACCUGGAACGCUAAAUAGGAAUUUCACACAGGUGUUGUCAGUUCUUUCAUUCUGAUACUGAUUUGUUGUAAAAUGAGGAGGUAUUGUUAUGUGCUAGGCCCGCACCUGACCUUAAGUCUAACCCCAAACCUCUUUGUGAUCCCACCAUGUACAUGCGCGUCCACCCUUGGGAGCUGGCUUAUGGCAAGCCUGGGGGUGAAGCUUGGAGUAGACAGGAUGUCAGGGCUCUUACCCUGUCUCAUCAAAUGGACUUGUGCACACAGCAGCCUGAAAAACAUAUAAAGGACCCUUUUUGUCCUGCGAAUAUUUCCUGCAGCAGCUCGUACAUUUUGGUACUUUCCUUGGCUUCCUUUAAACUCAGCAUUGAGCUAAAAGCAUAGAGCUCUGCUAACUUCAGCAGAAUUGUUUGUAAACACAAGGCUUGAAGGAGCUUCUCUAAGAACUCUUGUUGUUAUUGGAUAUGGCGUGUGAAAAAUGAAAGGGUGAUUUAUGGCACUGAAUAUAAUCCAUUCAUUCUCCAGCAUCCGUGCAGAAGCCUUUCAUGAUUUUCCACGAUGUUUCUAAGCGGCAAAAGUCACACCCAGACACAUUUUUCCAGCUAAAUAGUGACUUGGUUGCAGGCACACAGAUAAUGUCCUAAUAUUGCAGUUUAGGAGACCGCCUGGCUUGCUUGCCCUAUCACUUACACAGAGUAACUUUUGUUUUUCCAGCCUGGUACUCUUGCUUUCAGGCACCUGGGCAGAUUAACGUGAGCCUUUGUACGACUGUCCCAGGAAUGUUACCUUACAGGGCAUGCUCAUAGGGAAACUUUCAACCUAGGGGAUGCAGACUGCGCUCGGGGAAAAUUAGUUCAUUGCCAAUUAAAAUAGAUUUGGAUGGUGAGAAACAAAACCCAAACUUAACACACCACUUUCUCCCUGCCGUCCCUUUUUCCCUGGCUUGCUUUCUCUCCUUCAUCCCCAACUUCUCUGCCUCCCCCCAGAAAGUGGCACAGGGGCUGAGGGCAUUUUUAUCACGAGCUGUAACAGCUCUUCUCUGCACCUCCAGUUUGACCAGUUUGAGUCAGUUUGACUGAUCUGUGCUGGUGCAGAAUUUAGUCUAAUAUGUUCCUCUGUUUUAGUGCAUCCCCGAGAUGUGUUUUUCCUUGCUCCACGAGGUCUCAUGCAGCCUCUGUUGCUGUUGUUCUGUGGAGUUUUUUGGGUUUUGGUUUUUUGUUUUUUGUUUUGGCUUUCAGUGUUAUAUUCGUUGCUUCAGUUUGGAUUCUAACCUAAGUGUGUUAUUUGCAUGUGUGAACGUGAAAGGGAAGACCUUCAUACUUAGAAGGUCUGUGGUCUAGAAUGGACUAUGAAGGUCCGUUUUAUUUUUUUUCAGAGACUUUCCACUUACUUUUAUUUCUGGUCAUUUCUAUUAAUAUAACAUAAUAGAAUAUAUUAAUAUAUAUUUUUAAUCAAUAUAACCAAAUAUGGAAUGCUCUUUUUCAACUUCGUCCUCAGCUGACUCCCUCUUCCUCUGCAGGACAACACACAUUCAAGAUGUUUUGUUGUCAACCUAAAUUCUUUGCAACUUGUAAUUACAGUAGGAAUUUUAAUCCACUCUAAUGUGGAUAAAGUGGUAAUGGAUGUUUAAUAAACUAAUGACAGUCUACGGAACUGGGCCUAGCAAAGUAAAAGCCAUAAAAAUUUGGAGGAACUGAGGUGGAACUUCAGAGCUUCUCCACAGUGGAUGGAAAAGUCAGUUCUGACAGUGGUGCUAAAGCUGAGGAGGUGGUUUGAGAGCUUGGGAGAGGACGAUGCAUCCUGAAGUGUUGGAAAAGGAGGAGUAGAGGGUGAGAACAAGGGGAAGACAAGUGAUUUUCUCUCCCCAUCAUUUCCACCGACUAUUCUGAUCGUGGGAAUGAACGACCUCUCCAGGCCUGGUUUCUCUUCAGAGCCCAGUUACCGCUGCAUGGGCUGUCCUUCUUUGUGAGCAUUCUCCCUGCACGCUUUUUGUGGCAGCAGUAGCAAAAGUAGCAAUUCUGGUGGGCAGAAGCAAACCAAUUGAUUGGGUUGCUCAGGGAAGAGGAGCAGGUAGUGUAUUUGCUCUCACAUUGCUGGACGUGUUUUCAUGUACUAACAGGGUAGCUUUGUCUGUGCCAGCCUGACCUGGAGAAGUGCUUAUGGACGGGCCGGCAUGGAGGGAAAGCAGCUGCUGGUGGCUGUGGUGCCUUCCCCACAUGCCCUGUAGGCAGGCUGCAUGGUUUUGCUCAUUGCUCCAGUUCUGGCUGCUUCAUUUGCUGAACUGUGCUGGGGUUAAUGAGGCUGUGGUGAGGUGAGCCAGGGCUGUGCUGGGGGCUGGAUGCUCUGAUCCUCCAGGUUUGCUUUCUGUCAUUUACUGGAGAUUUCCACGGGGUGCUCUGCUUGUGGGGAUGAGUAGCUUACCUUUAUGGAUGCAGUUGAGUAAAUGUGUUACAGUUCUCCCAAACACGGAGAUAACGUCUAACACGUAGUUCUAAAUAACAGGUAGUUCUUGAUCUGCUGUAGCGUUUCCAGUGACUCACUGCUUCUUUUCUUUCCUCCUCUUGCAGUAAUUACAGAAGAGUGUUGCAGUUUCUGACUCAGAGGGAAGCUUCAUUCCAAGGCUUCUGGCCAUGCUGGAGUUCCAGCUCUUGCAGCUGUAUGAAGCGAGUUGUGGGGACUGCAUGGUUGCAGGUGGAGACUGAGCUGAAAAUAAUGCAGGCACAGCACAUAUCCUGAACAGUGAUAGCAAGACAUUAAAAGGAGGAUUUUCUUUGGAUUAGCAGACAGAAACUCGGUUGCCAAAAUCUUGGCUAUGAAUCUUGGCUAUGACUCUUGUGUCUCUCACACUGGCUGCUUAAAUGAAAGACAUCUCAAGGGACACAUCUGAUGGCCUCUCUACCAGGCUGGACUAGGAAACUACAGAGUGAAAAAGUGUGCUCCACCCAGAUCUGUUGUAGUUUCGUAGCUUUUGAAGGGAAAUGGUUUUCCUGCAGACCCAUAGGAACACUGGACAUGAGCCUUAUGGGGCAGGCAUGGGGAUAGGUCUCAAAUGUGUGUCAUAUUGUGGGAUGGGAACUGUGGGGCAAGGUUUCAUGUGUUGCCUCUUCUAGCUCCAUGAACACCAUUGUUUCUCCUUCUGGGCAGAAAUUCAACAGAUAUUGCAAGCUAGUGCAUUGUGUACCCAUGGACCAACUGCAGCUGGCAUGACCGCUUGGGGUGCAGCAGCACAGCAGCAGUGACGUGCUGCCAAAUGCGACCUGACAGCCCCACCAUGGGGACACAUGGGGCUGCAGGGGAGGGAAGCAUGAGUGGACCACAGGGCUCGAGUCUCCUCUUUGCCUUGUGAGAUGUCAGAGCCAACAGGCGCACAGACGAGCCUUGGUCCCCUGUUGUUUUCACAUUCACACAGCCUCCAUUUGUAAAGUGACCUCUUAGAUUUGGUGGUGCUGCAUUUUCACUUUGUGCUGGUGCAAGUGGCUGUGUGCAGCUGGCCACCAGGCCUCUGCUUGUCAGAAAUGUGUGCGAAGGUCUUCUUGCCAUCAGUUAAGUGUAUUCAGAUGCAAGUCUGUGAAAUUCAGGCCGUAUUUCUGUGAGGGGCACCAUUCCAUUGGUGCUUCUCUAAGGUUAGAAAUUUAUUCCCCAAGCUCUGGGGACAUGGUUAUUCUGAGC
rnacentral:lncRNA from 1 species